GACGAACGCUGGCGGCGUGCUUAACACAUGCAAGUCGAGCGGAGCGGCGAACGGGUGAGUAACGCGUGAGUAACUGCCCCCCUCUCUGGGAGAACAGUUGGAAACGGCUGCUAAUACCGGCUAGUGGGGGCUGACUCGCGGCCUAUCAGCUUGUUGGUGGGGUAGUGGCCUACCAAGGCGACGACGGAUCGCCGGCCUGAGAGGGCGACCGGCCACAUUGGGCUGAGAUACGGCGCAAACGCCUACGGGAGGCAGGAGUCGGGAAUAUUGCGCAAGGGGGGAAACCGUGAGGCAGCAACGCGCGUGCGGGAUGACGGCCUUCGGGUUGUAAACCGCUUUAAGCCAUGACGCGGUAGUGGCAGAAGAAGCACCGGCUAACUACGUGCCAGCAGCCGCGGUAAUUC
rnacentral:rRNA from 1 species